UACAGAGGGUGCAAGCGUUAAUCGGAAUUACUGGGCGUAAAGCGUGCGUAGACGGUUAUUUAAGUCAGGUGUGAAAGCCCCGGGCUCAACCUGGGAAUUGCAUUUGAGACUGAAUAGCUAGGGUGCGGAAGAGGGAAGCGGAAUUUCCGGUGUAGCGGUGAAAUGCGUAGAUAUCGGAAGGAACACCAGUGGCGAAGGCGGCAUCCUGGACUGGUCCUGACGCUCAGGAGCGAAAGCGUGGGGAGCGAUCCGG
rnacentral:rRNA from 1 species